UUCUGAACAGACUCUAGCUUUAUGACAGACACAUUUUUUUAAUGUGUUUCUCUAUUGUUGCUCAACAUGAAUUAGCCUACAGUUCACAGUUAGUUCAUAAUGAAUUUAACAGCCAAGUUGGUGGCCUCAGAGGACCUGAACCAAGGCGGGUGGAAGUUGAUCAUUUAAACAGCUUUCCAGCAAUUUUAAGCCAUGGACUACAGGAAGGAUUAAUCUCCCAGAGAGGCAUUUUUCAUCUUUACCUGGUGCCGGCUCCUGCCCUGCCCUCAUCCUACCAUCCUGGGCUUCCUGCUUAAUGCUCUGCGGUGGUCUCUGUUAGGAUCAGGAUGCCUUGAACUUAUCAGCAAGGUUUGGCAACUGGUGAUAAAUCUCUGCAGGCUUCAGUGUCUUGGCAAUUACUCUCUUUCCUUUGUUGGGAAGAGGAUUAAACAGAGACAGUGGUUAUACAGAGCCCUUC
rnacentral:lncRNA from 1 species